rnacentral:rRNA from 1 species
GCGUCGACGGGUAGCCGGCCUGAGAGGGUGACCGGCCACACUGGGACUGAGACACGGCCCAGACUCCUACGGGAGGCAGCAGUGGGGAAUAUUGCACAAUGGGCGGAAGCCUGAUGCAGCAACGCCGCGUGAGGGAUGACGGCCUUCGGGUUGUAAACCUCUUUUAGCAGGGAAGAAGCGGAAGUGACGGUACCUGCAGAAAAAGCGCCGGCUAACUACGUGCCAGCAGCCGCGGUAAUACGUAGGGCGCAAGCGUUAUCCGGAAUUAUUGGGCGUAAAGAGCUCGUAGGCGGUUUGUCGCGUCUGCUGUGAAAUCCCGAGGCUCAACCUCGGGCCUGCAGUGGGUACGGGCAGACUAGAGUGCGGUAGGGGAGAUUGGAAUUCCUGGUGUAGCGGUGGAAUGCGCAGAUAUCAGGAGGAACACCGAUGGCGAAGGCAGAUCUCUGGGCCGUAACUGACGCUGAGGAGCGAAAGGGUGGGGAGCAAACAGGCUUAGAUACCCUGGUAGUCCACCCCGUAAACGUUGGGAACUAGUUGUGGGGUCCAUUCCACGGAUUCCGUGACGCAGCUAACGCAUUAAGUUCCCCGCC